CUGUCUACGACAGCGAUCAUCUUCGAAGGCCUAAAUGUCAGAUUGUUGAUCUCCGUUGCCAUAACCAAGGCUCUCUCAAAGAUAAGCCUCGUCAAAGACCGUCUGGAAUCAAACACCACGCUGUUUCUAACCAGUCAAAUGUGGAGGGCCAAAUGGGCCACAUGGAUCCCUAUAACCCUAAACACAUCACCUUCAGUGCUGC
rnacentral:lncRNA from 1 species